GAUUAAUCCUUAAUUCCCUAUAAUUGCUUUCCAUUAGCUAAUCCACUACAACACGAGUUGCACAAAUAUCAUGUGAACAUACACGUUUCUCCUAGUAGAUGGUAUCAUGCAGAGGAAAUUCAUAGGGAGAAAAGGGAAAGGAAAGAGAAGGUAACAAAGCAUAAAGGGCCAGGAACUUCUAUCUUCUUAACUUUAUAUCUAAAAAAUUCAAGAAAGCAACAUAUUCAUCUAUUCAUGUUAGAUCUAAAAGAAAACUGACAAUGGAGAAAACAAAAAUAAAUCUUUUCUACAAACUCUUAAGGUUUGAAAGAAAAGAAUUACAAACAUUUGAAACAAGAAAGACAAGCAUCUAUUUAUGGUAUGCCUUUGCUCACUUCUAUCAAGAAAAUGGUAUUAUGCCUGCUCACCUCUGAAAACUCCUGACUUGAAAUUCCAUCAAUUGAUAUAACCUCUUUCUUGUCCAAAUUUAAUAUCUCAAGCAUGAUAUUAGUUGUUCUUGAGCCAACUUUAUAUGAUUCAGCCACCUUGCUAGUACCUAAACACGAAAUCAUCAAAAACUUACAAAGUUGUCAAGCUUAUGCUUCAAAAUACAAUGUUCAAAGAUAAAUCUUGGAGCAUUGCUUUUUCCUUCUAUG
rnacentral:misc_RNA from 1 species